rnacentral:rRNA from 1 species
GUGGGGAAUAUUGGGCAAUGGGGGAAACCCUGACCCAGCAACGCCGCGUGAAGGACGAAGGCCUUCGGGUUGUAAACUUCUUUGAUCAGGGACGAAUGAUGACGGUACCUGAAGAACAAGCCACGGCUAACUACGUGCCAGCAGCCGCGGUAAUACGUAGGUGGCGAGCGUUAUCCGGAUUUACUGGGUGUAAAGGGCGUGCAGGCGGGUCUGCCAGUCGGGUGUGAAAUUUCCGGGCUUAACCCGGGCGGGUCAUCCGACACUGCGGAUCUUGAGUACUGGAGAGGAUAGUGGAAUUCCUAGUGUAGCGGUAAAAUGCGUAGAUAUUAGGAGGAACACCAGUGGCGAAGGCGGCUAUCUGGACAGUAACUGACGCUGAGGCGCGAAAGCGUGGGGAGCAAACAGGAUUAGAAACCCCGGUAGUCC